rnacentral:rRNA from 1 species
UACGUAGGGGGCAAGCGUUGUCCGGAAUCAUUGGGCGUAAAGCGCGUGUAGGCGGUCCGAUAAGUCGGUUGUGAAAGUCAAGGGCUCAACCCUUGAAUGCCGACCGAUACUGUCGGGCUAGAGUCCGGAAGAGGCGAGUGGAAUUCCUGGUGUAGCGGUGAAAUGCGCAGAUAUCAGGAGGAACACCAAUGGCGAAGGCAGCUCGCUGGGACGGUACUGACGCUGAGACGCGAAAGCGUGGGGAGCAAACAGG